CUUCCACUAAUGACGCAUUUCAGUAGAGGAAAUAUAAACGUUUGCUUUGUUUAGAGGGAGGUUCUGCAGUUGGUAAAUAUGUUUUAACAGCCUGUCUCCUGAUAGAUAAUUAAAGUAUUUAGGUUGGGUUGAAAUGUUUUCUAAUAAUGUGUAAUUUUUGUGUUGUUUAUUACCUGCACGGAGUUCCGGGGAAAAAAAAAAAAAUUCUGUUGAAUUUCACAUAGAGUGGAGUCGUAUCUGCAGACAAGUCGAGUUUUUCAAUUAGAUUAUUUACUGAGAAACAAACGCGUUUAAAAUUCCAGCAGAGUGGGAUUCUGAAAGACGAAAGUUAUUCCUGUCUGUAUAACACCAGAAGAAGUGAUGAAUAUAUUUUUAUGAGAAGGCUGCGGAAAAAAAAUAUAAUAUUGCAAAAUAAAACCUGAAUCCGGUGUUUUGAAUGAAAAGAGGAUCCCGCUAGUCUCCAACUAAAACCAGUGAAGAUGGACGUCAGUGUCUCGGUUUCGUGCUUUCAGGACGAGCUCGCCUCUACCAUCGAGCACGCAGUGAAAGCGGCUGUAGACACCGUUUUGUGUGCAAUUAUUAAAGUUGUCGGCAGCAAAUUCACUGAAUUCCAAGUGGAAAUGGCUGGAAAGGAGAAAGAGAAUGAAAGUCUGAAGCUGAGAUUGGGAAUAUCAGAGCGCGAGCUGAAAGCUGCGCGAGGGUGUAUAAACGCUGCAGAUGCAGACAUUAAACAACCUUUAAUAUUUCAAGAUCCCAAAGAGAGCCAUGCUGUCCCUGAAUCUGAAGCACAGGAGAGGCCAAAGAUAGAAGCAGUUUACACACAAGAGGAGUCCUUUGACCAGGAGUCGUGUGGAAGUCUAAUGCAGGUUACAGGGCUGGCAUUUGUUAAAGAUGAAGAGGUCCCUCAACAGAAAUGUGUUCCUAUUAAAGAGGAAUUCAUAGAGCAGGAAUGUGUCCCCCUCACAGAGGAACUUCCUCCUGAAAAUAAUGUCUGUACACUUGAGGAGAACAAAAAGCUGGGAUCCAACCUGUGUGAUGAUUCUCCAUCUGAAUGUGAACUGGGAUUUAGAGCUCCUAAAAUAGAUGAAGGAGAACACGACUCCACUCUAUCACCCCAUGGCAAAAACUCUUCUAGAGGCAAACCACAGUGCAAGAAACACAGAGAAAUGACACCCCAAAAAGAAACUGUGAAGACAUUGAGAACUCACUUAGUGAAAAUUCCUUCUUUACAAGACAGACACCCAGUUACUGUGGAGAGUACAGAGACGGCACAUUCUGUAUGUUUUAACAAUUCUGAAACCCAGGGCAACUUGAAGACCUUGCCUCACUCUAUUAAAGGUGGGAAGAGUUCCUGUCAAUUAGACAUUCCUGAAAUGCACAAGGGAGAUCCCACAGGAGGGACUACAUUUUCCUGGGCUGAUUGUGGGAAGAGUUUCAAUCAUAUAUCGCUGCUUAAAAGACACCAGUGCAUUUACACAAGAGAGAAACCUUCCCACAUACAGUACAGUGAUGAGAGUUUCAUACAGUUAGGAAAUCUUCAUUCACACCAACACAUUCACAUUGGAGAGAAACCUUAUCACUGUGCUGUUUGUGGGAAGAGAUUCAAUCACUCAGGAAACCUUAAACUCCACCAGCGCAUUCACACAGGAGAGAAACCUUAUCACUGUGCUGUUUGUGGGAAGAGAUUCAGUUGGUUAGGAGACCUUAAAAAACACAAGCGCAUUCACACAGGAGAGAAACCUUAUCACUGUGCUGUUUGUGGGAAGAGAUUCAGCCAGUUAGGAAAUCUUAAGAGACAUCAUAAAAUUCACACAGGUAUGUAAUCAUAUCCCUGCACUUAAUGUGGGAAGAAGUUAAGUUAGUUGCUGGCUCUUACAGGACUUGAGAAUAUUCUCAGAAUUGCAGACACUUGGGGACACGUAAACAACAGGAGUACAUUUGACUAAAUACAGAAAUAUUUACUGAAAACAAAAUAAUAAACUUGCCUGAUAAAUAGGUUCACCCCUAAUCACAAUUUACUCGCAUCAAAAACUGACAAAAAAAUGAAUGACUGCAUCUUCUAGUCAUUGUCUUGUUGAGCAUUCGGAUUGUGUUACAUCACAUUAGUAAUAUAUUAAGUAGAUUGUUAUUAUGUAUGCAAGUCUCUCUCUUUUCUCAUGCUUUACGAUUGUUAUUAUGUAUGCAAGUCUCUUUCUUUUCUCAUGCUUUACGAUUGUUAUUAUGUAUGCAAGUCUCUUUCUUUUCUCAUGCUUUACGAUUGUUAUUAUGUAUGCAAGUCUCUUUCUUUUCUCAUGCUUUACGAUGUUAUUAUGUAUGCAAGUCUCUUUCUUUUCUUAUGCAUUGCUCAGCCUCUUGCAGUGUGUUCUGUGGAAAUUUCCCCGAUACAGAGGUGAGUCUGCGGUACGUCAGGGCGAAGCACAGUAUAUUGCAGUUAGUUAGGGUUAGGGUUAGUUAGUUUUUUUUAUUUAAUAAAUACGCGCUCCAGCACUUUAACGUGCAGUACAUGUGUGAGUGUCAACUUCCUGGUCUUGGGAUGUCACCCUUCGAGCCGUCUUGUCGUAAUUUUAUAAUUGUAAAAAUACUUUCAGUUUCUUUCAAUACUUUACUUCUUAAAGGGAUAUGAGAGCUACAGUAU